GGCCUGGUGGUGUAGCGGUAACACAUCCUCUGAUCGUCCCAGUAUUCUCUUUGUUCCGAGGAAUCCCCUUGUUCGAAUCAAGGUCAGGCCA